rnacentral:rRNA from 1 species
GACGAACGCUGGCGGCGUGCUUAACACAUGCAAGUCGAACGGAAAGGCCCUGCUUUUGUGGGGUGCUCGAGUGGCGAACGGGUGAGUAACACGUGAGUAACCUGCCCUUGACUUUGGGAUAACUUCAGGAAACUGGGGCUAAUACCGGAUAGGAGCUCCUGCUGCAUGGUGGGGGUUGGAAAGUUUCGGCGGUUGGGGAUGGACUCGCGGCUUAUCAGCUUGUUGGUGGGGUAGUGGCUUACCAAGGCUUUGACGGGUAGCCGGCCUGAGAGGGUGACCGGCCACAUUGGGACUGAGAUACGGCCCAGACUCCUACGGGAGGCAGCAGUGGGGAAUAAUGCACAAUGGGCGGAAGCCUGAUGCAGCAACGCCGCGUGCGGGAUGACGGCCGUCGGGUUGUAAGCCGCUUUCGCCUGUGACGAAGCGUGAGUGACGGUAAUGGGUAAAGAAGCACCGGCUAACUACGUG